UGCUGCAUCUUGAGGAGAUCGGGGGAUUUGGUCUCGCAAAGGCGAUUGUCCGCAACUCGGUGCGGCAUCACGCACUUUGGAGGCUCGCCAGCACGCUUAUAGGGCGCCAGC
rnacentral:ribozyme from 1 species